rnacentral:rRNA from 1 species
CCUACGGGGGGCUGCAGUGGGGAAUAUUGCACAAUGGGCGCAAGCCUGAUGCAGCCAUGCCGCGUGUGUGAAGAAGGCCUUCGGGUUGUAAAGCACAUUCAGCGGGGAGGAAGGCGGUGAGGUUAAUAACCUCAUCGAUUGACGUUACCCGCAGAAGAAGCACCGGCUAACUCCGUGCCAGCAGCCGCGGUAAUACGGAGGGUGCAAGCGUUAAUCGGAAUUACUGGGCGUAAAGCGCACGCAGGCGGCCUGGCAAGUCGGAUGUGAAAUCCCCGGGCUCAACCUGGGAACUGCAUUCGAAACUGGCAGGCUAGAGGCUUGUAGAGGGGGGUAGAAUUCCAGGUGUAGCGGUGAAAUGCGUAGAGAUCUGGAGGAAUACCGGUGGCGAAGGCGGCCCCCUGGACAAAGACUGACGCUCAGGUGCGAAAGCGUGGGGAGCAAACAGGAUUAGAUACCCUAGUAGUC